UACAGAGGGUGCAAGCGUUAAUCGGAAUUACUGGGCGUAAAGCGCGCGUAGGUGGUUCGUUAAGUUGGAUGUGAAAUCCCCGGGCUCAGCCUGGGAACUGCAUUCAAAACUGACGAGCUAGAGUAUGGUAGAGGGUGGUGGAAUUUCCUGUGUAGCGGUGAAAUGCGUAGAUAUAGGAAGGAACACCAGUGGCGAAGGCGACCACCUGGACUGAUACUGACACUGAGGUGCGAAAGCGUGGGGAGCAAACAGG
rnacentral:rRNA from 1 species